UUAGACUUCUGGAAUAAAUAAGAAAACGGAGGUCAAAUUCCAGGUCAGCCUUGGAGGCCGGACACCUGUACUCAGCACAAUUCGGAGUACACAGUGGCUGAUCCAUCAUGUCUGUUGAGUCAAUGACUAUAUGGUGGCCAUACAUGGAGACAAGCCCAGGGAAUCCCAUCAGGGAAUCAAGGCCUUUAAAUGAGAUGAGUCAGCAGAGGUAGGUGGAAGCUGAGAUGUGGUGCACAAGCCAAGGAAUACCGGAGACUGCCAGCAACCAACAAAAGCCGGGAGAGCCUGGAGCAGAGCUCUUUACAACCCUCCCACAUCUCAGCUUUAAGUUCCAUUCAGUGACUUUCGUAAGUGGUCCAGCUGUGGAAGGUGGGAAGGAGGCCGGCUGAUUGCCUCUCUGGCUUUAGCCUCAGGAGUCCUGAGGUAUUUAGUUUCCCAAGUGCGGAAUUGUCUUGAUUGUGGAAGGCCUCAAUGCUGGUUCCAGCUUUCUUUUCCACCUCUGUCUCCCAUGAUUCCUCUUCACCCUCAACUCCAGUCACCCAGACUAUGGGCCGGGUCCCAGUGGGCCUUAUCUCUUUAACUCAGCUCAACUCACCACUCCCUGGUCUCAGGGUCGUUUUCUCUCUUCAAGGACUGCCCUAAGUGUGACCUGUUCUGUCUGUCGGGCCAGUUCCCCGGGGCCGCUAAACUGAAUUGAACUUUAACCCUGUUAUAUCAGGAGUUGUUUGUUGCCUUACAGAUUGGGCCACACCUGCUGCAGCCUUUUUCCAGGCGCAGGUGUGGGGAGCUGACAGGAAAUGCCUGCUGCAGCCUUGCAGCCCAUUCCCAUUUCCUCUGCCACAUGGAAAUCAAAGGCAACCCAGCCACGUACACAUACUGUGGGGCUACAUAUUAACCAUUAUGUAUGGGACUGCCCCCCCACCCCCCAGGCCUCCAAACCUGUAAUUCUGACAGCUCCUUUUGUUCAAUACGAAACUGAAGCCCCUCUGGUUUUAGAGGCCUGGCACUCUAUCUGUGACAUUCAACAACUCCUCUACUAUACCUUAUACCCUGAAAGGUAAUUUUUCUCAGUGCCUUCAUCUCAAGCCUCUACUCUGUGUCUAACUCCUCUAACACCAAGGAGAAAAGUUCUAGCUCAAGAGUAUCUGGACUCUCAUCACCAAGACUGUCCAAGGCUGGAUGAAGGGGGAAGGAGGGGACGAUGGGGUUCUGUUUCCAGGCCUUGGCUUGAGUCUUUUAACAUUAGGUUGUCUGUAGAGAUGGGCAGGCAAAAAGAGCUUCCUGUUAGGUCCUGGCACCGGCACUCUGUGUCCAGGGCUAUCUCUCCCUCCUUCUCUAGCACUAGGGUUCACCCCAACAACUUCCACCCAAGAUCCAUGACCUUCCCAAGUUCCGUCUGGCAGGGUGUUGAGCAGAAGAGGGAGCAGGUGUAGACUCACUGAGGACUGGGCUAGUGCCUGACAGGCCUGAGGUCCCCUAGACUUGGCUCCCCAGAAACCUGCAUCAAGAAAGGAACAUAUGGGCAUUGUUGCUUAGUGACAACAUGCAUUCUGAGAGAAGUGUGAUUGGCAAGUGACUUUUCCAUGUGACGGAUUUCCUGAGCUGGGAAAGUACCACACGGUCCUGUACAGAACAGGAGACUGACACACAGAAGCACAAAGUCUAGCAGAGCUAAAGAAAAGUCUCCUCAUGACUGUGCUAGCGCCGGGAGGCUGCCCAUGAUUCCUGCAGCUCGAGCUUUCGCUGCCCACCUACUUAGCCUUCAAGGCUUCCUCAUUAAAACAAUCCUUCCCAUUCCAAACUGAGCCCCAAUCUCAAUGUCCAGUGCUAGUGAUGUAACUCACCCUUGGGAUUACACUUUGCCCAGCAGGUCCCUCAGAACUUCCAGCUCCUGAUGGCCAGUGGCAGUAAGUGUUCAAGAACUUCUGAGACAAGUGAGACCAAAGCAAAAUAGAGUCAUUUCCUACCCUAAGCCCCAUUGGAAAGUCUUUAUAAGACUGUGUGGCUCAAACCACACAACAAUCGAGACUCUAAGACACAAUGGCGGGUGUUCUAAGAAUCAAAAGUAGGAGACACCUGAGUACUUCUUGGCUGGUUCUUCCCCUAGGACCAGACUGAUGGACAAUUGUCCAAGAGAGACUUGCUCUGCCUGGCCACACUUUAGCUGGAGAAACUCAAAGGCAGAACCACACAGUCUCCCUGCCCUUGGCAAUGCUGGUUUUACUGGUGUGGGGUAGUGCAUAGGCACCUGCCUUUCUUUUGAAAAAUUACUUAUUUGCUUUAUUGUAGUCUGUGUAUGCGUGUCUUGUCUUCAUGAAUGUAUACGCAUCCCAUGUGCAACCUGGUGCCCAUGGAGGCCAGAAGAGGCCAUUGGAUUUCCUUAGAAGUGGAGUUACAGUAGGUGAUUAUGAGCCACCACGUGAGUGCUGCCAAAUGAACCUCUGGAAAAGCAGUCAGUACUGCUGACCACCAUGAGCCAGUCAUUCUAGUUCCCCAAAAGGUUUGUUUGUUUGUUUGUUUGUGCACCUGUCUUCAUAAGCAACUUGCAGAGGAAGCACUGAGUCCCGUUCCUCACUGUCCUGGCCCUGUGAACUCAGGGCUUACAAGGUUGGGGCUGGCACUGAGCCUUGGAGACUUCUCUCUGCCAUCUGGGGAUUCUUCACAGAAGGGCUUCUCUGGGUCAGCAAGGGGCAGGCUUUAGCUACCCCCUGUGACAGAAAGACCAGCAUGGAUUCUCAACUGGAUAGACAUGUGGACAAGACAUGCUCUGUGCCUGUUGCUCCCUGUCUGAUCCCGUUUUUCAUUUCUGUGUUCCCUGACUGAUAUCUAGCAGGCUAGGGAAUCAGUAAAGAGAAAAUCAUUUUGAUGCUUUAAACUUAACAAUUGUCUCUCUUCCUACUCCGCUUUAGCUAUCUAUGUGAAUACGACGUAAUGAUGCACAGGUGCAUACCAUGUAAUGAUGGACCACACACAUGAUUAUGACUCAUGAGAGCAUAUCCUCUGGUGACAUAAGAGACACCUUGGUUCCUGUGAGCACCCUGUAAGAUGUUCUCAUCACACUGAGAUCAGCUGAUAAUGCAAGUCUCAGGAUGUAUCCCCAUCUUAAUAGCAUGACUAGACUUUCCCUCGAGGAAAACCCAGGUCCAGGUUAUCUGAGGUCCUUGAUGAGGGAGGUCUCUCCUGUUGGCCUUUGGGCUGUCACUGUCGUGCUAUCCCAACAUAACAGAGAGAAAGUAGAUUUUCAUUUUUUUCUGUUUGUGGGCAUAUAUUCAAUUUAUAUCUUCCAUUUCUGGUCUCCUAAACUCAUAUUCAUUCUACAUAAAAACCACAUAUAUUUUAUCUCAGUAGCCUUGAAAAUAUGAACCCAUUUUGGAAACAACUCUAAAGUUAACUUUGAAGUCUUAGUUAAAAGUUCUCUAAGGCAGAUGUGGGUGAGAUGCCAGGGAUAAGUCAUCCUGAAGCCAGGCUCUUUUUGGCUAUGCACUGGGAACUACGGAAGUGACAUGUCCCAAAAUACAGUGAUGUGACCACCUGGACAGGGAGAUUAUCAUUUCAUUGGAAAGAAACUGAAGGGAGGCCAGGGGCGAUGAUGGCUUCCAAGCUCAGUAAGACACACUGCUAAGACUAGAUUCUUGGGUUUGAUGACUUGCCUUUUGACACACUUAGGUGACCCCUGACAUUCUCCAGUUGACCUGUGUCCACUGUCAGAGCAGUUGACACUGAAACUAUGUCCUCUUCUCUCUCCUUUGAACCAAGGCAGUCCUGGUUCAAAGCCCUGGUCUCUUAAUCAGUCCUGGUUACUUUCCUGUUUGGAAGAACAUGUCUACAGUUGCGCAGCCCCAUGAGUUAGUCAAGCAGGAUAAGAACCCACAUUCUUCCUUCACUUUGUCCUGGCCCUGUCAGUUGAGAUUGGCAGAGUUUCUGUUGGGGUGGCUGAUUAGUGUGUGCAUUCACACCCAUACUUACUGGGGCUGUUCACCACACCCUUGCCACUCUCUUCCUAAUAUACCUUUAGUAUUAUUAUUUUACACUACAGGCAGGUUACAGCCAAAUCUUUAAGAUCUGGCUUGUUUGUUUGUUUGUUUGUUUGUUUUGAGACACGAUCUUACUAUGUAGUCUUAGUUGGCCUAGAGCUCAUAAUGGAGACCACGCUGGCCUCCUAAGUGCACCACCAUGCCCAGCUCAAUUUCUCAUUUCCUCUUGGAUUUGCUAUGAGCAGCCAGGAGUGAGAAAGCCCCUUCUCCAACACUUUGGUUAGAAAUCUCCUCAGCUAAAUAAGCAGCCGCCCCACUCUCGACUUCUACCUUCCUCAGAACACUGACGCACAAAGGCAGCUCAGCCCGGAUCUUCACUACUGCACAGGAAUUUCCUCCGCACUGUCCAAGAACACUCCUUAUUUCUCUGUAAGACCUCACCUGAACCUCCCUUCCAACCCACGUUUCUAGUAUACUGAAAACUUCUCCAGCUCCACCCAGUAACUGGCUCUACAGCGCCAUCUACAGCUCUACAUGCUCAUGACACUAGCUCCGCACUUGGCAGUACAAGUUGUCUAGUGUGGGCUGCAGUUAAGAGUCUAUGGACUGGAUGACUGAAGUGCGGGGGUUUAUUUUCCCCUCUCAGUCUUGGAGGACAGGAAGUGCAAGAUCCAACGUAUUUAAUACAGACCCCCCAAUACAUCUAUAGUCAUACUAUAUUUUAAUUUAAAAUUAUUUUUACAUUUACUUAUUUACUUGUGUGCAUCCUAUUUGUGUGUGUGUGCCUGGGUGCAUGGACUCUGUGGAGGUCCCUGGAUAAACUUACAGGAGCCAGUCCGCUCUCCUCACCUUGUGAGUCCCAGUACCUUUGCCUGCUGAGUGCUCUCACUGGCAAGACAUUUAUAGUUAAGCGAACACCCUCUUCCUGGCUUAUUAAAUUGUUCACUGUGUCCCCACCAGCAGAGAAAGAGUUCUGAGUUCUCUUUGAUAAGGACACUAGUCUCACCACAGUGGGGACUAACGCCACAUCAGAGGUUUCAACCAAUGCAUCUGGGGGAUAUAUUUAGUCCCUAACACCACCAUUGAGAGAGCAAACGCUUCCAAAUACAGGAAUCUUGUGUUUGGGGACAUGUUGUAACACAGGCUUUUUUUUUUUUUUUUUUUUUUUUUUUUUUGAAGGCAGCUUCUUGCUCUCACUUUCUUCCUUCUUUUAUAUUAUUUAUGGUUUCUUGUUAACCGUGCUAGGUGCCAAGCACAGGGCCUUGUUCAUGCUAGAAAAGAGUUGCCAUUGAGUUAUACCCCAGCCUUUGGCAGAAGCUGAGGAGGCAGAGGAUGCAGGGAGCUGGUGAGGAGAGGAGAGGCCCUCUCCACAUUGCUGGGUUGGCCUCCAGCACAGGCCCCCUCCAAGCAGGCUCACACCCACUCGGCAUUUGGGAAGAGCUGCUCCUGGUUGGAGAGGGGCAGACUCAGGGCUCAUCAGAGCGGACAGUACUGACCUGCCUGGUGACAGCCGGGCAGGAGACAGUCACCAGGUGACACAGACUUUCACCUACUCCUCAGGCUUACAUGUCACACUGUCAUGGUGGCUCCCAUCUAACUGCUAGGACCAGGUAAGUGUGGGUUCCUUUGCAGAGAGUCCUCUGGUUUCCCAAAUCUGGGUUCUAAGUGUUCCCAGAAGGCAGCACCUACCUCCUUCAAAGGCCACGUCAAAGGAAAAAUUGUUAACCACUGUAUCCUACUGUGGCCUGCUUCCUGCAGGGAGAAGUCAGGCUCUGGAUAUUACCCUCUGAACAUCACAGACAGACGGCUGUACCAAGAGCAAGAAUGGUGACAAGAAACUUGUACUUGGGAAAACAACGGGAAAGAUCACUGUCAAGAUUCCUACCUGAUGGAUUAACAAGGGGCUAAGUCCAGGCCCCCCAGCGGCAGAAGCCACAGCCCAGCCAUCUCAGCCCAGUCUUACUGAGUCUUACAAAUACAAAGGCUGGUCUCCAAGAAAAGACCUAGAAGCUGUUUGAGCCUUGGCUUCACCGCACGCUAGGUAGGUAGUCACCUUCCCUGAGCAGUGUUGCCUUCCCGUGCCUCAGUUGCAGCACUUGUAGAACACAGAAAAAGAGGCUCUCAUUUCAUAUGGGCUAAAUGGUUAGGAAGUUUGUGGAUCCCAAGAAUCUGUGAACAAAGGCGCUUGAUGAAGAUCUGCUUUCCCCACCAGCCCUCUUAACUCCAGCCACCCGUCUCUGGCUUCUCUAAACCUCCAUGAACUGACCCAUAAGAUGGUAAUGGUAAUAAUGUUAGUCCUUGAACAAGAAGAGAAUUGCACUAUAAUCUUUCGUGUCUAUAGAUGAUGUUCAAUGUGUACCACAUUCUGACUCACCAUUCUAGUGCUGCCUCACAGGGCACCUUCUCUGGUCUCAUGCUCCAGUGAACCCCACGACCUCUUUUCCUGAGCCCCAGGCUACCUGGAAGUCUGCUGCAUGUUAAGGGAGAUCCAUAGGACCCAGGAAACCCAAGGAGGGUCUACCACCAGAGAGUGACAGUGAGCACCCUGGGGUUUGCAGCCUGGUUAUUUUCAGAAAGAAAAUAAAAAUUGCUGCCCAGGAGGCCAGGGCCCGGCAGGGAGCGAGUUAUCUCCAGGACGGCUUCCUGCUUUGACAGCAGCAGCCACAGCGGCCCAGAGCACUGAGAGAGCCUUGGCUCGGCCUAGGACUCUCCAGCUGCGCCCCGCCAGCUUAGAGGCGGUGAAAUGAGACUAGCCCGCAUCACCUUGGCCUCCCGACAGCACCAUAGGGGACGUUCCUUCCAGCGAUGUUCUUCCCACCCUCCAUGUUGCUCCCACCUACGAGGUCUCCCAAUCAGGCACUUACUCUGCA